CUCAGUCCUUUAUUUGAACACCAUGUGUAGAACAACUGCCAGUCCAUGAAGGCAGACCUUGCAUCGGUUCAUGACAUGGAGGAAGGCAACGAGAUCCAGAGGCUGACAGUGAUAUAAAGAUAUAAAGACACCUGGAUUGGAGGCAGUGAUGCACAGGAGGAGAAUCAGUGGUUCUGGAGCGAUGGUACUCCUUUCCACUAUACAAUCUGGUGUCCCGGAGAGCCUAAUAACAGCAGAGGGCAGCAUUGAUUGUACAUGAACGCUGGAGGUAAGAAUUGCUGGGAAGACUUCCAGUGCUACUACCUUAAACCAUUUGUUUAUGAAAGCCACAGGAAUCCUCGACUAAAUGCUGAAACCUGGACUGAGAACUGAUUCCUAAAGAAAGCUAUCUGUCGUUAUGAAAAUCUUCCUCUUUUUUUGCUCUAUCGCUAGGCAACUUUAAAAGAAAUUGCAGCAUUUACAGAUUGAUAAUUGUCUCCAUGUUUUAUGUCUUCAAACUCAGGCAACUGAAUUUGUAGGAGUCUGAGUUUAGCACAACUUUAUUCUGUAAAAAAUAAAAAGCUCAUGCAAAAAGAACAAAUUAGU